CCUACGGGAGGCAGCAGUGAGGAAUAUUGGUCAAUGGACGAGAGUCUGAACCAGCAAAGUAGCGUGAAGGAUGACUGCCCUAUGAGUUGUAAACUUCUUUUAUAUGGGAAUAAAAUGUUCCACGUGUGGGAUAUUGUAUGUACCAUAUGAAUAAGGAUCGGCUAACUCCGUGCCAGCAGCAGCGGUAAUACGGAGGGUGCGAGCGUUAAUCGGAAUUACUGGGGGUAAAGAGCUCGUAGGCGGUAUGUCAAGUUAAGGGUGAAAUCCUCGCGCUUAACGUGGGAACUGCAUUUGAAACUGGCAAACUGGAGUGUGUGAGAGGAUAGUGGAAUUCCAGGUGUAGGAGUGAAAUCCGUAGAUAUCUGGAGGAAUAUCAGUGGCGAAGGCGACUAUCUGGAACAUAACUGACGCUGAUGAGCGAAAGCGUGGGGAGCAAACAGGAUUAGAUACCCCUGUAGUC
rnacentral:rRNA from 1 species